UCGGGAAUUUUGGGCAAUGGGCGAAAGCCUGACCCAGCAACGCCGCGUGAAGGAUGAAAUCCUUCGGGAUGUAAACUUCGCAAGAACGGGAAGAAUAAGUCUGCGCGAAUAUCGCAGACGAUGACGGUACCGUUUGUAAGCUCCGGCUAACUCCGUGCCAGCAGCCGCGGUAAUACGGGGGGAGCAAGCGUUGUUCGGAUUUACUGGGCGUAAAGGGCGCGUAGGCGGCCACUGCAAGUCAAUUGUGAAAUCUCCGGGCUUAACUCGGAAAGGUCAACUGAUACUGCAGGGCUAGAGUGCGGAAGGGGCAACUGGAAUUCUCGGUGUAGCGGUGAAAUGCGUAGAUAUCGAGAGGAACACCUGCGGCGAAGGCGGGUUGCUGGGCCGACACUGACGCUGAGGCGCGAAAGCUAGGGGAGCGAACGGGAUUAGAUACCCCCGUAGUCC
rnacentral:rRNA from 1 species